AAUAGAUAUCAUAAUGCCAAGUGGUAGAUUUCUGUUGACAUAAGAAAAGAUUUGUGUUAUUUUAAAACAUCUCUGCAUCUUUCUUUGGUAUAAGUUUUUAAAUCUCUCUAGCCUUUUUUCUUAUUAUUACAAAGCUUAAAUCAGCUCUCUCUGUCAGGCGAGUACAAAUCUUGUACACGUUAUUUCUCCCACUUCCUAUUCUUGGAUCAAGAUGAAACUUUGCACAUUUCAAGGUGGUUAAGAGUUACUAAAACUAUCGUAACUUUUUUAUUUUAUAUAUAAUUUAACAUUUGAUUUUUUUUUUAAAUUGGUCUCCACCAGCAGCGCUAGUGGAUUAACCCUCCCC